rnacentral:tRNA from 1 species
AAGAAAUUAGGUUCAAUCUUCAAGCCGAGGGCC